rnacentral:tRNA from 1 species
AGGCUUGUAGCUCAGGUGGUUAGAGCGCACCCCUGAUAAGGGUGAGGUCGGUGGUUCAAGUCCACUUCAGGCCUACCA